UGGAAGUUGAUGUUAUCAUCAAAUGGGAUGAGCCUACCAAGAGCAGUUGAUCUGAGCGUUGUAAGGGUGUUUCGACAAACAGGGAGGAGAAUGAGUGCCAUGUUCAGUUUCAGGGUCUCUGCUGCACCCUUGGCUACACACACGCAAUAGCCCAUCACUUCAUAUGCUGAUCUCCGCCUGUACUGGUAAAAUUUCCAUAUAAAUAGUGCUAUGUUCAGUAUCAGCCAUAGUGAAAGAACCCAAAUCCUCCUCCAGUUCUCAUGAACGAAAUCUGCUGUCUUGCUGACACUUCUGUUGAUUGGGUUUCUGUACUGCUUUGGUAUCAUUGUUCUCGCAAGGCUAUGACUACGUUUGACUGUUUUCUCAUUUCCCUGUGAGCUCACCAUCCCUCGCAGUAAUGUCUCAAGCUGCCAGAUCUGGUGAAAUGAUUGAGAAUGGUUUCUCGGUACCUCAAUAUAGCCAAGAUGGUCAGGGUCUAGUUCCUCCAUUAUGAGAGCAGCAUAGGUUGCAGCAUGCCCCUUGAGUUUUGCAAGUUUGUUUGCCGAGGCACUCAAAAUGAUGACCUUUGGAUGAAGACACAGAUCGGAAUCAAUUUUAUUCGAAAUCUUAAUUGAUAAAAGCAAUUCUUGACAAGGAAUUGACAGGAAUUCAGAGGGCUUAAGCUGCAGACCUCUUUGACCUCAUCUUCUGUAAGUUUUCCAUCCCCAUUCUUGUCACACCUAAUGCAACAGAGCAACUUACAUCAGGUAAUUACUGUGUUGUCAAAGUGCUGAAAAGAGAAAGGUAAGGCAUUAUUACAUGUCAAAGAAUAUCCGUAGCCGGGAAUCAAAGUUUUGGUCUGUCAUCUCUUCCCAGAACUCCUUUAAUUCAUCUACUGUAAUUCCGUUCUCCGGUUCCAGGUUCCUCCGUCUUGCUAGGGUAACAAAAAGCUCCCCAGCGAACUCCUUGGAAUCAGCCAUCCCUUUCAAAAGGAAUUCAGCUUGAAUAUUAGAGCCUCAUAACUUCGUGCCUAGAUCUUUUACUUCCAGUUCUCCCUACUUUCACUAUUAUUUGUUUGGAAUGGAAAUUUUGCCAUGCAAACAUUAGUUAUCAUUGGUAUUGAGCUAGAGAUGCUUAUGUAAUGCUCGAUUAAGAUCCUUUUCUUCUAAGAAAUGCUCUUGAUUUUUGCAUUGCUUAAUAUAAAUUUCCAUAUCAGUCAAAUCAAAUGGACACUGGUUCGCAAAUCUACUUCUUAUUCAAGUGGUUAUGAUCUAGAUGUUUGUAGUUUCAGUGUCUCUUCUGCCAUAGUAUAAGAAUACAGGAAGCUGCGCUGGCAUUGAUGGACCAAUAUCAGUGAAGGACCUCAGAAGUGCUGAGAUGGUGGGUGACCUUUUCUUUCCAUUUGAAAUACUGAGAAAGAAGAAGUUUUGCUCGAGGAAGCAAAGAGAGACUAACCAAUGCAGCGCCCAAAAUUUUCCUUGGGUAGCCUUCCAUUGAUGGCGAAUUGGUCGAACCGCUUCUCCACGGCCUUCCACCCAUUCUCCUUGCCGCCUGCUGUUUUAUCGAGAAAACGAAGGCUCUUGAGCCCCAAUUCUGCACUGGAUUGCAUCCUCCGCAUGGCCUUUCCCAUCGGGUUCCUCACUGCCCGCGGUGAGAGCCGUUUUAUCUCCUCCUUGAUCUUCAAGGGCUGCGACAUCAGUAUCCUUGCAAAGCUUCGCUGUGGUUCGGGUCUUGGAGGUUUUGGGGCUGCUGAAUUGUGCACAAAUGGGAUCGCCGGAGCUGAUCCGUUGUCCAUGCUGUGAAUGGCGACGCUCUCGAGCUCAUGUGCUGAAGGAUUGGCUGGCGGCACAACAGCAUAUUCAUGUGAUGAUCCCAUUUUCUUAAUCCUUAUUGGUACUUACAGAGCUCAGGAGAAUUCUCUCUAUGGAGGUGUUGCAGGCUCCAUGGAUGGAGAGAGAGAGAAACGGUCAAAUAGAGAACCGGGUUUGGGCGGGUGGAGGAUGGUUAGAAGGAAGGGGUGAGGGAAAUUAUAGCCGUUAUUGGUGGGGCUCAUCGCUGCGGUGUAAACAACACCAACCUCGAACACUCGCAUAUAGAAUAAUAUGCGGAUCCAGAUCUGUCGUCCAUGUUUCCCACUUUAAAGCAUCACGUCCGUAGAUAAUUGGCGUCCUGCUCGCAGACGGUGCAUUUAUUAUCCGCACAGAAUUCCCUAUGCAUGUAUCCGUUGUCUGCCGUAGCCGAAAGAGAGUUGUUGGGUGGUUCAUCUCGCUUUCGCCAUCUCAUGUCCCGAGAUCUCGUUUCUGCAUCUCAUCUACAGUGAUUUUUAGCCGUCCGAUCUAAUUCAAAAAAAAAAAAAAAAGGUGUUUGAGCCCACGACGUGGACCUUCCACCCGACGACCCUUUCGUUAGCUGGAUUCAGCGGACGUGAUGAUGCUCUCUGAUUAGGUGGUCCUAGCGAUCUCCACCGUUAUUUCGUACAGAACCCUUGUGACAUAUUCCUUUCAUGUCACGUAAAGGUCGUGCCAAACUUGUACACAACGAAGGCCCAAAGGAUGCUUAUCAUUUGUUACACCCAGUGGCUAGGAAAUGCUUUGGAUGUAUCUCUUUGAGAACACAUUUCUCCGCUAUACAGUGGAUUGCAUGCAUGGAUGACAUUUGAGGUGAACUUUUUAUUAAAAAAAAAGAGAAAGAUGUUGAGGUGAACUUUUUAAAAGAGAGGUUUAUCGUUCCUUCUAAAUCUGUUGUGGUGAUCACUAUCAACUUGAUCAAUUGUGUCGGACCAUCGGAGGGUGGUACAGUGUCUUAAAAUGAUUUUCAGUGGCAUGGAUCAUAUGUUAUGCUUUAAGUUCAUUGUGCUCAUGACUAUCAAAGGCAUGUGGAUCGUAUGGUAUGCAUUAAGUCCAUUUCAAACUUUGUCAA